rnacentral:rRNA from 1 species
GGGUGCGAUCAUAUCAGCACUAAAGCAUCAAAUCUUAUCAAAACUCUGAAGUUAAGCAUGCUUUGGCGAGAGUAGUACUAGGUUGGGUGAUCUCUUGGGAAGUCCUUAUAUUUCACUCC